rnacentral:tRNA from 1 species
GAGGGUAUAGCUCCAUGGUAAAAUGUGUGCCUAGCAUGCAGGAGAUCCUGGGUUCAAUCCCCAGUACCUCCA